rnacentral:SRP_RNA from 1 species
GCCAGGUGUGAUGUCAUGCACCUUAGUCCCAGCUAUUCUGGAGGCUGAGGCAGGAGGAUCGCUCGAGCCCAGGAGUUCUGGGCUGUAGUGUGCUAUGCCAAUUGUGUGUUCACACUCAGUUCAGCAUCAAUAUGGUGACUUCCUGGGAGCAAGGGACCACUAGGUUGCCUAAGGAGGGGUAAACCAGCCCAGGUCAGAAAUGGAACAGGUCAAAACUCCUGUGCUGAUUAGUAGUGGGAUCACACCUGUGAAUAGCCACUGCACUCCAGCCUGGGCAACUUCAUGAGAUCCCAUCACU